rnacentral:rRNA from 1 species
UACGUAGGGGGCAAGCGUUGUCCGGAUUUAUUGGGCGUAAAGAGCGUGUAGGCGGCCAGGUAGGUCGGUUGUGAAAACUGGAGGCUCAACCUUCAGAGGUCGACCGAAACCAUCUGGCUAGAGUCCGGGAGAGGAGAGUGGAAUUCCUGGUGUAGCGGUGAAAUGCGUAGAUAUUGGGAGGAACACCAGUGGCGAAGGCGGCUCACUGGACCGGAACUGACGCUGAUGCGCGAAAGCGUGGGGAGCAAACGGG